GACGAACGCUGGCGGCGUGCUUAACACAUGCAAGUCGAACGGAAAGGCCCUGCUUUUGUGGGGUGCUCGAGUGGCGAACGGGUGAGUAACAAGUGAGUAAACUGCCCUUGACUUUGGGAUAAAUUCAGGAAACUGGGGCUAAUACCGGAUAGGAGCUCCUGCUGCAUGGUGGGGGUUGGAAAGUUUCGGCGGUUGGGGAUGGACUCGCGGCUUAUCAGCUUGUUGGUGGGGUAGUGGCUUACCAAGGCUUUGACGGGUAGCCGGCCUGAGAGGGUGACCGGCCACAUUGGGACUGAGAUACGGCCCAGACUCCUACGGGAGGCAGCAGUGGGGAAUAUUGCACAAUGGGCGGAAGCCUGAUGCAGCAACGCCGCGUGCGGGAUGACGGCCUUCGGGUUGUAAACCGCUUUCGCCUGUGACGAAGCGUGAGUGACGGUAAUGGGUAAAGAAGCACCGGCUAACUACGUG
rnacentral:rRNA from 1 species